UACGUAGGGUGCGAGCGUUAAUCGGAAUUACUGGGCGUAAAGCGCGCGUAGGCGGCUCGGUAAGUCGGAUGUGAAAGCCCCGGGCUCAACCUGGGAACGGCAUUCGAUACUACUGAGCUGGAGUACGAGAGAGGGGGGUGGAAUUCCAGGUGUAGCGGUGAAAUGCGUAGAGAUCUGGAGGAACACCGGUGGCGAAGGCGGCCCCCUGGUUCGAUACUGACGCUGAGGUGCGAAAGCGUGGGGAGCAAACAGG
rnacentral:rRNA from 1 species